UGCGAGUGUACGGGUGCAAAGCCCUGGCGCGCAAUGAAAGUGAUCAUGGGUGGGAGCCUUCGGGCGCACCAUCGACCGAUCCUGACGUUUCUACAGAUGGAUUUGAGUAAGAGCACACUGGGUCUGACCCGAAAGAAGGUGAACUAUGCAUGAAUAGGGUGAAGCCAGAGGAAACUCUGGUGGAGGCUCGCAGCGGUUCUGACGUGCAAAUCGAUCGUCAAAUUUGUGCAUGGGGGCGAAAGACCAAUCGAACCUUCUAGUAGCUGGUUCCUGCCGAAGUUUCCCUCAGGAUAGCAGAGUUGAUACCCUCAGUUUCAUGAGGUAAAGCGAAUGAUUAGAGACCCGGGGGCGCUAUAUUGCCUUCAUCUAUUCUCAAACUUUAAAUAUGUGAGAAGCCUCGUGUUACUUAUUUGAACGCAGGCAGUCCGAAUGAAUCAACUCUAGUGGGCCAUUUUUGGUAAGCAGAACUGGCGAUGUGGGAUGAACCAUACGGGGACUUAAGGUGCCGGAGUGGGCGCUCAUGAGACACCA
rnacentral:rRNA from 1 species